CUUGGUCAUUUAGAGGAAGUAAAAGUCGUAACAAGGUUUCCGUAGGUGAACCUGCGGAAGGAUCAUUAUAAUUGUUUUUACACCCUUUUAGGCACAAACUCUAAAUCUUAACCGUCAAAUAUUUUUUUAAAAAACUUUCAACAACGGAUCUCUUGGUUCUCGCAUCGAUGAAGAACGCAGCGAAUUGCGAUACGUAAUAUGACUUGCAGACGUGAAUCAUUGAAUCUUUGAACGCACAUUGCGCCCCGGGGUAUUCCCCAGGGCAUGCGUGGAUGAGCGAUAUUUACUCUCAAACCUCCGGUUUGGUCCUGCUUCGGCCUAAUAUCAACGGCGCUAGAAUAAGUUUUAGCCCCAUUCUUUUUCCUCACCCUCGUAAGACUACCCGCUGAACUUAAGCAUAUCAAUAAGCGGAGGAAAAGAAACCAACAGGGAUUGCCUCAGUAACGGCGAGUGAAGCGGCAAAAGCUCAAAUUUGAAAUCCCCCGGGAAUUGUAAUUUGAAGAGAUUUGGGUCCGGCCGGCGGGGGUUAAGUCCACUGGAAAGUGGCGCCACAGAGGGUGACAGCCCCGUGAACCCCUUUAACGCCCUCAUCCCAGAUCUCCAAGAGUCGAGUUGUUUGGGAAU
rnacentral:sRNA from 1 species